ACAAUAUAUUUGUCAGCUGCAUCUGCAGCAGCAUCAAUUGUCCAGGAGGGGGCAGUAAAGACCGAAGGAGGCAGUGAGGAGGAGGAGGAGGAGGAGGAGGAGGAGGAGGAGGAGGAGGAGAAAGCUGCUGAAGAAGAUACAUCUGAGGAUGCUGAGACAGAGAAAACAGGUGAGUUUGACUGUGAAAAAUGAGCCGGAUUAGAAAGAUCUAAAUUUAAUCUGUCGUCAAUUUAGACUUUCUUUUAUGGGUUAGUUGUAGUUGGGAACAGAGCUGAGGUUUGAUCUUUGACCUCUCUCCACACUCGUUCACCUGCUGGUGCAGGUGAGUCUGCAGGUCAGGGGGAGGAGGAGGAGGAGGAGGAGGAGGAGGAGGAGGAGGAGGGAGGAGACCAUGAGCCAACAGCUGAACUAAAGAAGAGUGUGGAGGAGCAAGAAGAUGAAAGAGAGGAGGAGGACGAUGAAGACGAGCAGGACGAGAAGGCGAAGGUGGACGUGACCAAAGCUGUGGACGAUGCGGCGAGCGCACCUGAAGUGCCAGAGUGUCCCUGCCGUCAUUCUGCUCCUGUCAGCCAGACCGACACCAAGACUGCAGACCCCAAAGGUCUGUGCCCCUCCCCCGAUGUCUGAAACAGUCAGUAACUGGUUUAUCCAGGUGGGAGGUCAGUGAACGUCUGUGUUUGCAGCUGCUCCUAGGAGAGUCACAGCAGUGAGGAGGAAAAAAGGUGAGGAUUCAUCCAUCCCGCAUCCAGAACCUCUGUAGAACCCACAGUCUGACCCCCAAGCAGCAGCGGCUCCAUUAACAGGAGGAACUCCUGAGCAGGACCACUCCUGCUGAAGGAUAGCUAACCUCAAGGAGAAAACUCCCACAGACUCUUUAGGAAGAAACCUUUACGUCCAGUUUGAUCGAAAAGUCUGAUUUUGUGUUUCUGCUGUUUGUGUAGUUUCAGACCCGGAAGCUGUGAAGACGGAAGAAAAGCCCAGAAGGAUGGGUAACGGAACUUUCAGAAGCUGACCUCCAACCCUUGUGGUUAUAAUAUAGUCAAAGAUGUUGUUUUUUCCAGGUCUCCCCAGAUUUCCAGGUAUGGGGCCAAAAGUCAGGAGGGUGAGAAGAGUCCCAACGAUCCUUAAAGGUAAAUGUGAGCAAACCGGGUCAAACCCAGGCUGGCAUGUAGACAGCAGAACCUAAACCGAGUUAAUGAGUUCCCAUUAUUCUGAUGUUCGUCUGGUCUAAUCUCACCUUCACACCUUCGACCUUCAUAUUUCACAGCCAAAAAAGCUGAAAGAGCCAAAAGUCCAAAAACGGGUAAGUGAACAACGAGCUUCGGAGGAGCCAGGAAACAUCUGGAGAUGUUGUUUGUUUACCGGCUCGUUUCUCUUCAGCAGAGACGGACAACACAAACCGGGCCGAGGCUCCAGAAUCUGAAGGUACUGUUUCAAACAGAGCACAGUUCAGAAUCAUCAAUUUCUUUCCUCUAAAACCUGAACUUGUCCCUCUGGUGCGACCCCACUCGGACCCCCAUCUCAGUGGGCCCCUGCAGACCGGCACCGGUCUACUGCCCGUCUCCGCCCGGUUGGUACGGUAAGUAGCAGAUUCUGCUGGGGAAAUCUGUCUGGGAAGUGCAGAGAGGCUGAUCCAAUUCACCUGUUCCAGUUCACCACGUGGUCACAGACA
ensembl:lncRNA